GCCACGGUGGUCUAGCGGUUAGAACGCUGGCCUUGUAAUCCUGGGGGGGGGUCUCGGGUUCGAUUCCCGGCGGUGCCC
rnacentral:tRNA from 1 species